rnacentral:RNase_P_RNA from 2 species
CAAGAAAAACGGCUUGUUGAUUCCCGAGUUUUUGGGGGUAGGAAAGUCCGGACACCAUAGAGCAGCAAAGCGGAUAACAUCCGUCGGUCGUGAGAUCAGGACCAGUGCAACAGAAAGAAUGUAUAUUCAGUUAUAGUGAAAUCAGGUAAACUCUUUGCGGUGCAAUGUUAAGUAUAUCAUCAGUUAAGGGCGGCUCGUCCGUUGAUGAGGGGUAAACAGCUCAAGUUUUGCGGCAACGCAGAACGCAGAUAAAUAACAGGCGCUUCGCUUCGGCGGAGAACAGAAUCCGGCUUACAGUUUUUCUUGUGGG